GACGAACGCUGGCGGCGUGCCUAAUACAUGCAAGUUGAGCGCUGAAGGUUGGUACUUGUACCGACUGGAUGAGCAGCGAACGGGUGAGUAACGCGUGAGGAAUCUGCCUUUGAGCGGGGGACAACAUUUGGAAACGAAUGCUAAUACCGCAUAAAAACUUUAAACACAAGUUUUAAGUUUGAAAGAUGCAAUUGCAUCACUCAAAGAUGAUCCCGCGUUGUAUUAGCUAGUUGGUGAGGUAAAGGCUCACCAAGGCGAUGAUACAUAGCCGACCUGAGAGGGUGAUCGGCCACAUUGGGACUGAGACACGGCCCAAACUCCUACGGGAGGCAGCAGUAGGGAAUCUUCGGCAAUGGACGAAAGUCUGACCGAGCAACGCCGCGUGAGUGAAGAAGGUUUUCGGAUCGUAAAACUCUGUUGGUAGAGAAGAACGUUGGUGAGAGUGGAAAGCUCAUCAAGUGACGGUAACUACCCAGAAAGGGACGGCUAACUACGUG
rnacentral:rRNA from 1 species